rnacentral:rRNA from 1 species
GAUGAACGCUGGCGGCGUGCCUAAUACAUGCAAGUCGAGCGAACGGACGAGAAGCUUGCUUCUCUGAUGUUAGCGGCGGACGGGUGAGUAACACGUGGAUAACCUACCUAUAAGACUGGGAUAACUUCGGGAAACCGUAGCUAAUACCGGAUAAUAUUUUGAACCGCAUGGUUCAAAAGUGAAAGACGGUCUUGCUGUCACUUAUAGAUGGAUCCGCGCUGCAUUAGCUAGUUGGUAAGGUAACGGCUUACCAAGGCAACGAUGCAUAGCCGACCUGAGAGGGUGAUCGGCCACACUGGAACUGAGACACGGUCCAGACUCCUACGGGAGGCAGCAGUAGGGAAUCUUCCGCAAUGGGCGAAAGCCUGACGGAGCAACGCCGCGUGAGUGAUGAAGGUCUUCGGAUCGUAAAACUCUGUUAUUAGGGAAGAACAUAUGUGUAAGUAACUGUGCACAUCUUGACGGUACCUAAUCAGAAAGCCACGGCUAACUACGUGCCAGCAGCCGCGGUAAUACGUAGGUGGGCAGCGUUAUCCGGAAUUAUUGGGCGUAAAGCGCGCGUAGGCGGUUUUUUAAGUCUGAUGUGAAAGCCCACGGCUCAACCGUGGAGGGUCAUUGGAAACUGGAAAACUUGAGUGCAGAAGAGGAAAGUGGAAUUCCAUGUGUAGCGGUGAAAUGCGCAGAGAUAUGGAGGAACACCAGUGGCGAAGGCGACUUUCUGGUCUGUAACUGACGCUGAUGUGCGAAAGCGUGGGGAUCAAACAGGAUUAGAUACCCUGGUAGUCCACGCCGUAAACGAUGAGUGCUAAGUGUUAGGGGGUUUCCGCCCCUUAGUGCUGCAGCUAACGCAUUAAGCACUCCGCCUGGGGAGUACGACCGCAAGGUUGAAACUCAAAGGAAUUGACGGGGACCCGCACAAGCGGUGGAGCAUGUGGUUUAAUUCGAAGCAACGCGAAGAACCUUACCAAAUCUUGACAUCCUUUGACAACUCUAGAGAUAGAGCCUUCCCCUUCGGGGGACAAAGUGACAGGUGGUGCAUGGUUGUCGUCAGCUCGUGUCGUGAGAUGUUGGGUUAAGUCCCGCAACGAGCGCAACCCUUAAGCUUAGUUGCCAUCAUUAAGUUGGGCACUCUAAGUUGACUGCCGGUGACAAACCGGAGGAAGGUGGGGAUGACGUCAAAUCAUCAUGCCCCUUAUGAUUUGGGCUACACACGUGCUACAAUGGACAAUACAAAGGGCAGCGAAACCGCGAGGUCAAGCAAAUCCCAUAAAGUUGUUCUCAGUUCGGAUUGUAGUCUGCAACUCGACUACAUGAAGCUGGAAUCGCUAGUAAUCGUAGAUCAGCAUGCUACGGUGAAUACGUUCCCGGGUCU